CCUACGGGAGGCAGCAGUGGGGAAUAUUGGGCAAUGGAGGCAACUCUGACCCAGCAACGCCGCGUGAAUGAUGAAGGUCUUCGGAUUGUAAAGUUCUGUGAUGGGGGAUGAACACAAUGACGGUACCCCAAUAGCAAGCCACGGCUAACUACGUGCCGGCAGCCGCGGGAAUACGUAGUUGGCAAAGGUGAUCCGGCUUGACUGGGCGGACAGUGGGCGGGGGUGGUUUAGUAAGUUGGCGGUGUAAUUCCGGGGCUCAACAUCGGCGCUACCGCCAAAACUAUUAGACUAGAGUGCAGGUGGGCUAAGUGGAAUUCCGAGUGUAGCGGUGGAAUGCGUAGAUAUUAGGAGGAACAUCCGGGGCGAAGGCGACUUACUGGACUGUGACUGACACUGCGGCACGAAAGCGUGGGGAGCAAACAGGAUUAGAUACCCGGGUAGUC
rnacentral:rRNA from 1 species